GACAGAGGGUGCAAACGUUGUUCGGAAUCAUUGGGCGUAAAGCGCGUGUAGGCGGUCCGGUAAGUCCGCUGUGAAAGUCGGGGGCUCAACCCUCGAAUGCCGGUGGAUACUGUCGGGCUAGAGUGCGGAAGAGGCGAGUGGAAUUCCUGGUGUAGCGGUGAAAUGCGCAGAUAUCAGGAGGAACACCGGUGGCGAAGGCGGGUCUCUGGGCCGAUACUGACGCUGAGGAGCGAAAGCGUGGGGAGCAAACAGG
rnacentral:rRNA from 1 species